rnacentral:rRNA from 1 species
GACGAACGCUGGCGGCGUGCCUAAUACAUGCAAGUAGGACGCAGUUGCGAACGGGUGAGUAACGCGUAGGUAACUGCCUAUUAGAGGGGGAUAACUAUUGGAAACGAUAGCUAAUACCGCAUACUAGUAGAUGGACCUGCGUUGUAUUAGCUAGUAGGUAGGGUAAUGGCCUACCUAGGCGACGAUCAAUAGCCGACCUGGGAGGGUGUACGGCCACACUGGGACGGAGACACGGGCCCGACUCCUACGGGAGGCAGCAGGAGGGAAUCUUCGGCAAUGGGGGGAAACCUGACCGAGCAACGCCGCGUGAGUGAAGAAGGUUUUCGGAUCGUAAAACUCUGUUGUUAAGGAAGCGGUACUUAACCAGAAAGGGACGGCUAACUACGUGCCAGCAGCCGCGGUAAUUC